AUGUCUAUGCAAUUUCAAGAUGAUACAGAUGGCGUACCUCCUUCUGAGGCUGAAAGUAGGAAUGAAAGGCCCCAAAGGAUAAAGCACCCUUCAGCCAAAAUGCUAGCCCAUCUAAUAGACGAAAAGGAGCUCCUCCAUGUGAGGUUAGGUUCGGCAUGGGAGCGAAUUGUAACAUUAAUGGACAGAAUAGAGAGCUUGGGUAUCACAAGGGUGCCAGCCAUAUUACAGACAGACCUCGAAGAAGCCUUCGGUCUUUGGAGGGGUUUAGUGUCUAAGAUAGUCCAGGUCCUCGAGCGCAUUAACGCCAAGGAUUCAGAGUUAGAAAUAGGGAGUGUUUUAGCUGACACUAAUGAGAAAGAAAAUAGGGUGAGGGCAAUCCUAGCUUCCUUAUGCAGCCAUAAGACCAAUCUUUUGAAAUCACCUGCUGUGGCACUUAGUCUUAAGUCCAACCGCUCUAGCCAGGUAUCUAAACUAAGGGAGCGUGCAUCGUCUAAACACAGCCACUCUAGCAAGUCUUCUGCUGCUGGGAGUGCCAUCUCUUCCCUAGCUGCCUUGCACAUUAAGGAGGCUGCACGUCUGGAGCUAAAGAGCAAGGUAGCGGGGGCGGAGGCUGAUGCUAAGGCAGCUGAUCUCACCCUUCCCUUUAAAGAAGAAGAGCAACGACUGCAAAUAGAACAGGCCCGUAGACAAAGCGAAAUGCAAAUGGAACAGGCCCGUAGACAAAGCGAAAUGCAAAUGGAACAGGCCCGUAGACAAAGCGAAAUGCAAAUAGAACAGGCUCGUAUAGAGAUGCUUAGAAUAAAGAUGGAUGCCGCAGCCAAAAGGGUAAGGGCUGAGACUUUGGCCAAGGCCCUAAUUGAGCCACUCACAGAAGAAAAUGUAAGCCAGUUACCAAUACAGGAUCCUUCUGCCAAAGUGUUUGCGCACCUUGGCAGCAUGAACAGCCAGUUUUCGGAUGAGGAACAGGAAGACUUCUCUCCUUACCCAGAGCAGGGCCCCAAAGUCACGUUUGAGUUUCCUGCAGAGCAGAGCGUCAUAGCAGGGAGCUCACCCUUGCUCGAGCUACCUGUGCCUCCUGCUAAACCCUAG
rnacentral:lncRNA from 1 species